UAGUGAGAAAGCCAUGGUGAGUAGCCAUAGUGAAUUAUCGAAAAAAAAAGCCAAAUCUCACGCCUUUCAAUGUGCGUUUUUGUUUCGUGUGGCCAUGGCUGCAUAUACGUCAUAUCUGUUGUACCUGCGGUGUGUGUUGUGUGGUAUUGUGUGUCGGUGUGAAUUUUGUGCAGCUUGUGGAAGUUACUGGUGGAAAGUGGGUGGAAGGGACAAUGUGUAAACUUUUUGUGUUGAAUUUAACCGCGGUGUGGCUGGUGUCGAUCCAUGUGCUGGUGUUCAUCAUCCCGGGUGUGCUGUACAUAGGCUAUUCCUCGCGCGCUAGGACGAUGCAGUUACAAAGCAGCAAAAUGCGGCGCUCAAUGAACGACGGUAGUGCGGUAAAAUCAUGCAUAGCCUGUUACGCGGUAAGGUGCUUUUUGAAGCGUUUGUUUUAGAUUUCUGCUCUGAUUUUAUAGUUAGUAACAAAGAUCAACCUAAAUCUGGAUUAUGUAGAUUAAUGAUGGUAAAUUUGGGAUUGUCAAAUACGGCUAGUGUGGAGUAGGACAUGUCCGUCGCGGAGUCGUAAGUUCAAGUAUAGAGUGGAUCGAGCCCCGUCCGGCUGCAAUGACUGAUUUAUCCAGCUGCGUCGUAUUGAAUGAGUCUCAAACGUUGUAAUAGGCUGGCAUGAUCGAGCAGGUCGUUACACCUAAUCGAUAAAGUUUUAAAAAUAAAAUGCGAUAAAAACUAA